GUUUUACAAUGUGACUGCACAGUGCAAUAUUAGGUUCAGUAUGAACGACCCAAACAUUUCAAAGCAAUCCAAGGAACAAGGGAGGAGCAAGCUUUGCAAGCUCUGCCCUUCUUCCAUUGCAUCCUGCCCCUUGCAUAUUGCAUUUUCUAGAGGCAACACUGAGCUUGCUGACAGUUAUCAGUUCAGUAGAAGCAAGACUAUCCACACAAGAUUGGGUCACACACUUGGAAUUCUGCCACUUGAACGAGUGUUUAUCGUUGAAGUGAAGUUACCCUAGACAUGCAUCUGUGCUGUGGAGGGCUAUAACCAGACAUGGAGGUAGCAAAUCCUGCUUGGAAGAUGAAGGAGAAGAGCUUGCCUCUGCUCCAUUUAGUGGUCACUUUGUUGAAGCUGGUAGCAGAAAAGACACACCAUCGCCACUGCUACUGCACUGAUGGAUAACCCUGCCUCUGCAAUAGCAUGAUUCCAAUACGAGACUAGGCGGUGAGUUUCUCCUAUGUUGAGACUCUAGACUGUAGAGAGAGAGGCAAAGACGCCAACGAGAGCCGUACACACACAACAUGGUCUGGAAAAGUACACGAGAAAUGAGGUCUGUUGGUCUUGGAGUCGUGACGACCACGGCACCUGCUUCAAAGUGAAACAUGAGCUG
rnacentral:lncRNA from 1 species